UACGUAGGGUGCGAGCGUUGUCCGGAUUUAUUGGGCGUAAAGAGCGUGUAGGCGGUUAGGUAGGUCCGUUGUGAAAACUCGAGGCUCAACCUCGAGACGCCGAUGGAAACCAUCUAACUAGAGUCCGGAAGAGGAGAGUGGAAUUCCUGGUGUAGCGGUGAAAUGCGCAGAUAUCAGGAAGAACACCCGUGGCGAAGGCGGCGCUCUAGUACGGUACUGACGCUGAGACGCGAAAGCGUGGGGAGCGAACAGG
rnacentral:rRNA from 1 species